rnacentral:rRNA from 1 species
UCAGGACGAACGCUGGCGGCGUGCCUAACACAUGCAAGUCGAGCGAGGAGAUCCUCGGGAUGAUCCUAGCGGCGGACGGGUGAGUAACACGUGGGCAACCUGCCUCAUAGAGAGGAAUAGCCUUCCGAAAGGGAGAUUAAUACCUCAUAACAUUGCAGUUUCGCAUGGAACAGCAAUUAAAGGAGCAAUCCACUAUGAGAUGGGCCCCGCGGCGCAUUAGCUAGUUGGUGAGGUAACGGCUCACCAAGGCGACGAUGCGUAGCCGACCUGAGAGGGUGAUCGGCCACAUUGGGACUGAGACACGGCCCAGACUCCUACGGGAGGCAGCAGUGGGGAAUAUUGCACAAUGGGGGAAACCCUGAUGCAAGCAACGCCGCGUGAGUGAUGACGGCCUUCGGGUUGUAAAGCUCUGUCUUCAGGGACGAUAAUGACGGUACCUGAGGAGGAAGCCACGGCUAACUACGUGCCAGCAGCGGC